GCGAUGUUGGUGGAUCCUACAGGUUCUAUUAAAUGUGUCUUUUUUGGAGAAUGGGUCAAGUGUAUUGAGGAAGGGGAAACAUAUACUUUUACCAACUUAAGAGUACGCACAGACUAUUUGAGUCAGGAGAAGUUUGUGAAUACUGCCAAAACUGGUUGUAAAAUAGAAACAAGAAAAGCAUUCGAUGAGCCAUUAGCACCUGCUGCUCCAUUGGUUGCUGACAUUGCAACAAAAGAAGCAAUUUUUUCUGUGGUGGGCAUAAAAGGAAUCAGCAAAUACUAUUCAUGCAGUAGCUGUUCGAAGAAGCUGGAAGAGCAGGGUACAAAGUUGUAUUGUCGAUCCUGUAACAUGAAGCAAAAACCAACAAAUGUUCAGUGGGUUUCGAGACUGCGGGUACAAGAUUCAACUUCCGAGCAAUUGAACAUCACAGUGUUUCACCCACAGAUGGUAAAGUUAUUUGAAAGUCAAGGAAAAUCUCUGCUGCCUUCACUAACGGAGAGUGAAAUAGAAGAUAUACUUCUUGAUGUUGAAAACAUUCAUGCAAGCAUGAAGCAUCAACAUCCAGCAAGGAAAACUUUUAGAUAUUCUGGAAUGACUUUGAUCUUGUGAACAUAUACUGUAAAACAGUUACAUUAUUUUUAAAGUGGAUAUUCUAUUUUGGGAUUUGUUAUGGUUACUUGGUUUGUUUAGAAGAGGAAAACAUAAAACUUUGAUGUUAUAAACUCUUACAUUUUUAUAUUUUGAUACUUGCUAUGGAC